AACGAACGCUGGCGGCAUGCCUAACACAUGCAAGUCGAACGGAACCUCGGGGCUUGGUGCCGAACGGGGCGGUAGACGGGGGAAACCUGCCCUUGGGUCGGGAAUAACGCCCGGAAGGGGGUCCGAAAACGGGAAAUGAUAUCGGAACCAAAGAUUUAGGGCCUUUGGAGGGGCCCGCGUGGGAUUGCCGAGUGGUUAGGGUAAAAGCCUACAAAGGGGAGGUGCCGUAGCUGGCUUGAGAGGCUGAGCCGCCACACUGGGACUGAGACACGGCCCAGACUCCUACGGGAGGCAGCAGUGGGGAAUAUUGGACUGUGGGCGAAAGCCUGAUCCUGCACUGCCGCGUGAGUGCUGAAGGCCUUAGGGUUGUACAGCUCUUUUACCCGGGAUGAUAAUGACGGUACCGGGAGAAUAAGCUCCGGCUAACUCCGUG
rnacentral:rRNA from 1 species